rnacentral:rRNA from 1 species
UGCAAGUCGAGCGGUAGCACAGAGAGCUUGCUCUCGGGUGACGAGCGGCGGACGGGUGAGUAAUGUCUGGGAAACUGCCUGAUGGAGGGGGAUAACUACUGGAAACGGUAGCUAAUACCGCAUAACGUCGCAAGACCAAAGUGGGGGACCUUCGGGCCUCAUGCCAUCAGAUGUGCCCAGAUGGGAUUAGCUAGUAGGUGGGGUAACGGCUCACCUAGGCGACGAUCCCUAGCUGGUCUGAGAGGAUGACCAGCCACACUGGAACUGAGACACGGUCCAGACUCCUACGGGAGGCAGCAGUGGGGAAUAUUGCACAAUGGGCGCAAGCCUGAUGCAGCCAUGCCGCGUGUGUGAAGAAGGCCUUCGGGUUGUAAAGCACUUUCAGCGGGGAGGAAGGCGAUAAGGUUAAUAACCUUGUCGAUUGACGUUACCCGCAGAAGAAGCACCGGCUAACUCCGUGCCAGCAGCCGCGGUAAUACGGAGGGUGCAAGCGUUAAUCGGAAUUACUGGGCGUAAAGCGCACGCAGGCGGUCUGUCAAGUCGGAUGUGAAAUCCCCGGGCUCAACCUGGGAACUGCAUUCGAAACUGGCAGGCUAGAGUCUUGUAGAGGGGGGUAGAAUUCCAGGUGUAGCGGUGAAAUGCGUAGAGAUCUGGAGGAAUACCGGUGGCGAAGGCGGCCCCCUGGACAAAGACUGACGCUCAGGUGCGAAAGCGUGGGGAGCAAACAGGAUUAGAUACCCUGGUAGUCCACGCCGUAAACGAUGUCGAUUUGGAGGUUGUGCCCUUGAGGCGUGGCUUCCGGAGCUAACGCGUUAAAUCGACCGCCUGGGGAGUACGGCCGCAAGGUUAAAACUCAAAUGAAUUGACGGGGGCCCGCACAAGCGGUGGAGCAUGUGGUUUAAUUCGAUGCAACGCGAAGAACCUUACCUGGUCUUGACAUCCACAGAACUUUCCAGAGAUGGAUUGGUGCCUUCGGGAACUGUGAGACAGGUGCUGCAUGGCUGUCGUCAGCUCGUGUUGUGAAAUGUUGGGUUAAGUCCCGCAACGAGCGCAACCCUUAUCCUUUGUUGCCAGCGGUCCGGCCGGGAACUCAAAGGAGACUGCCAGUGAUAAACUGGAGGAAGGUGGGGAUGACGUCAAGUCAUCAUGGCCCUUACGACCAGGGCUACACACGUGCUACAAUGGCAUAUACAAAGAGAAGCGACCUCGCGAGAGCAAGCGGACCUCAUAAAGUAUGUCGUAGUCCGGAUUGGAGUCUGCAACUCGACUCCAUGAAGUCGGAAUCGCUAGUAAUCGUAGAUCAGAAUGCUACGGUGAAUACGUUCCCGGGCCUUGUACACACCGCCCGUCACACCAUGGGAGUGGGUUGCAAAAGAAGUAGGUAGCUUAACCUUCGGGAGGGCGC